rnacentral:rRNA from 1 species
UACGGGGGGGGACUAACGUUAUUCAUCAUAACUGGGCGUAAAGGGUACGUAGGCUGACUUUUUAAGUCUUUAUUAAAGAAUCUAAGCUUAACUUAGAAAUUAAUUUUGAUACUGGAAAGCUUUGAGGUCGGUAGAGGUUAGUUAUAUUCUUGGAGUAAAAGUGAAAUCUUUAGAUACCGAGAGGAUAACCGUGAGGUUAAUAC